GAUGAACGCUGGCGGCGUACCUAAUACAUGCAAGUCGAGCGAAUGGAUUAAGAGCUUGCUCUUAUGAAGUUAGCGGCGGACGGGUGAGUAACACGUGGGUAACCUGCCCAUAAGACUGGGAUAACUCCGGGAAACCGGGGCUAAUACCGGAUAACAUUUUGAACCGCAUGGUUCGAAAUUGAAAGGCGGCUUCGGCUGUCACUUAUGGAUGGACCCGCGUCGCUUUAGCUAGUUGGUGAGGUAACGGCUCACCAAGGCAACAAUGCGUAGCCGACCUGGGAGGGUGAUCGGCCACACUGGGACUGAGACACGGCCCAGACUCCUACGGGAGGCAGCAGUAGGGAAUCUUCCGCAAUGGACGAAGGUCUGACGGAGCAACGCCGCGUGAGUGAUGAAGGCUUUCGGGUCGUAAAACUCUGUUGUUAGGGAGGAACAAGUGCUAGUUGAAUAAGCUGGCACCUUGACGGUACCUAACCAGAAAGCCACGGCUAACUACGUGCCAGCAGCCGCAGUAA
rnacentral:rRNA from 1 species